rnacentral:misc_RNA from 1 species
GAUGAAGAACGUAGCGAAAUGCGAUACGUAAUGUGAAUUGCAGAAUUCAGUGAAUCAUCGAAUCUUUGAACGCACAUUGCGCCUGCCAGCACUCUGGCAGGCAUGCCUGUUCGAGCGUCAUUUCAACCAUCAAGCCCUAGGCUUGCGUUGGAGCCCUGCGGCUGCCGCAGGCCCCUAAAAGCAGUGGCGGGCUCGCUAUCACACCGAGUGCAGUAGAUUACUCUUCGCUCAGGGCGUGUGGCGGGUUCCAGCCGUGAAACCCCCUACUUCUCAAGGUUGACCUCGGAUCAGGUAGGAAUACCCGCUGAAUUUAAGCAUAUCAAUAAGCGGAGGA